rnacentral:snRNA from 1 species
UAUAUUUGAUUUCUCUUCAAAUCUUGCAAAAUUUUCGCCUUUUGCUAGAGAUUUCCUUGAAGAGGAACAUCUCUAAGAAGGCCUGGGGACAUGGCUCUGCUGCUAUGCC